UUUCCUCUUUCUUUUCUAUGUCAGCCGACACACACAUAUCAUCUAUCCCUCUCUCUCUAACUCUAUUCCGGCUCUCUCUCGCCUCAUCCCUCCAUCAACUUCUCUCCUAUUUUCAUCUUCUUAGAGUAAGAUUCCGGACAAAAUCCGAGAAUUAAAGUUGUUCUACGGAGCACGAGCUUUCCGAAUAUCCAAGAAAAAUCAUGAUCGGACCACGUGGGAGUUCGGUUGACUUGGUCAAAGGUUCGGGUUUUACUCAAAACCCAUGAGGUACAAAAAAAUUGGAAGUUGGCAUGGCGUGCAUAUCGUGCUUAUUGAUCAUGUCUUUCAAAGGUAUAAAAGAUGCGAUUAUUUGUAUUUGAUUCGAAAGGAGUAUUUUUGGAAAGACAUUUGUUAGAACUGUAAUAUUAUUUUCUUCGGACAUCGGUAUUUCGAUAACUUCGGGCCUCGAGCCAGGGAUGUACUCAUUGAAUUUUAUUUGAAAACAGUGAACAGAAAGGUCUUGUGGGGUAUUAUUUGUAUUACAGUGAGGACUUUAUUUAUUAAAAGUAUUUAUUAUUUAUGUCGAAAA